rnacentral:rRNA from 1 species
UACGUAGGUGGCAAGCGUUGUCCGGAUUUAUUGGGUUUAAAGGGUGCGUAGGCGGUCUAUUAAGUCAGUUGUGAAAUACGGCAGCUCAACUGUCGAGGUGCAAUUGAUACUGAUGGACUUGAGUACUGAUGAGGUAAGCGGAAUGGACGGUGUAGCGGUGAAAUGCUUAGAUAUCGUCCAGAACACCGAUAGCGAAGGCAGCUUACUAAGGAGUAACUGACGCUGAGACUCGAAAGCGUGGGGAGCAAACAGG